ACCGUUGCGGGACCGAGGGAGGGGUGUCUUGCCCGGGCGGCUGAAAGAAGCCUCCGCGCCGGGCUCUGCGCCGGCCAACGCCGACUUCCGAUCAGCUGGAGGCCUUCGCGUCGAUGGCCAGGCCUGGGAAUGGGAAUCAGAUAGCUCCCACCACCACCACAUUUGCUGUAGCUCAGAAGGCUCUGCCUACAUGACUACUGCAUACCCUACUGGGAGAAUUGGAAGAAUGUGAUGAUGGUAGGAGUCACCCAGCACAGAAGCAUGAGUGAAUGACAUCCCAGAGAUCUGCAAAGGAUCCUGGUAGCCACUUCAAAGACUUUUUCUCCCUUCCUCAGACAAUCAUGGCACCUGGACAUCAGAGGAAGAAAUGGCAAAGUUUGUAUGACUCCUCCAGCAGAGUCCUUGGAAACAAUAAAGCUUCCUUUCCAAAUUCUGAGAA